GACGAACGCUGGCGGCGUGCUUAACACAUGCAAGUCGAACGAAGUGGCGAACGGGUGAGUAACGCGUAAUCAACCUGCCCUUCAGAGGGGGACAACAGUUGGAAACGACUGCUAAUACCGCAUACUGAAGGAGGGGCUUGCGUCUGAUUAGCUAGUUGGAGGGGUAACGGCCCACCACGGCGAUGAUCAGUAGCCGGGCUGAGAGGAUGAACGGCCAAAUUGGGACUGAGACACGGCCCAGACUCCUACGGGAGGCAGCAGGGGGGAAUCUUCCGCCAUGGACGGAAGUCUGACGGAGCAACGCCGCGUGAGUGAUGACGGCCUUCGGGUUGUAAAGCUCUGUUAAUCGGGACGCGGUACCGGAAUAGAAAGCCACGGCUAACUACGUGCCAGCAGCCGCGGUAAUUC
rnacentral:rRNA from 1 species